GGAGUAUCUAAAAUCAGAGAAACGCUCAGAAAAGGUACUUUUUACUGGAGAGUGUUCAGCACUAGCCUAUAUGCUUCUGAACUCAGAGGAGGUUCUGGACGAGUUGGACCUGAAGAAAUACAACACCUCAGUGAAGGGUUAUAGGAGACUGAUCCCAGCUGUGGCUAUCUGCAGAAAAGCUCUAUUAGCUAGCUGUAAUCUCACUGAGGAUUCCUGUGAAACAUUUUGCUCUGCUCUACAAUCAGCCAACUCUUGACACUGAAAGAACUGGACCUCAGUAACAACAACCUGCAGGAUUCAGGAGUGGUCCUGCUUUCUGCUGGACUGAAGGAUUCACAUUGUAAAGUGGAGACACUUAGAUUGUCUGGUUGUACGGUUAAAGACAAAGGCUGUUGUUCUCUGGCUUCAGCUCUGAAAUUAAACCCUUCCCACCUGAGAGAACUGGAACUGUCCUAUAAUCACCUAGGAGAAUCUGGAGUGAAGAUGCUGUCUGAUCUACUGGACGAUCCACACUACGCACUGGACACACUCAGGGUGGAUCAUGGAGGGGAGAUCAGGAUGAAACCAGGACUGAAGAAAUAUGCUGUUGAUCUCACUCUGCAUCCAAACACAGUGAACAGGUGUCUCUCUCUGUCUGAGGGGAACAGAAAGGUGGAGCGUGUGUUUAAGGAUCAUUCGUAUCCAGACCAUCCAGACAGAUUUGAUGGCAUGCCUCAGGUUCUAAGUGUGGAGAGUCUGACUGGACGCUGUUACUGGGAGCUUCAGUGGAGCAGUCAGAGGGCUGAUAUAUCAGUAUUAUACAGAGGAAUCAGGAGGAAAGGAGGCAUAUUUGAGUGUGGUUUUGCCUACAAUAAUCAGUCCUGGAGUCUCCAGCACUUUGUAAGCAGAUACACUGAUAAGAGAUACUCCUUCUGGCACAAUGAAAAGAGAACCUACCUACCUGUCCCUCCUUCACCCUCUAAAAGAGUAGGAGUGUAUCUGGACUGGGAGUCCGGCACUCUGUCCUUCUACUCCAUCUCACCUGACACGCACACAAUGUUCCACCUACACACACUCUACACCACAUUCACUGAGCCGCUCUAUGGGAUUGGGAUUUAUGAUUACCCUGUGUGGUUGUGUGAGAUAGAAUAACCUCCUGAAUCCUGCAGGAAAAAUUAAAACACCAGAAACACACUACUGUGUGUGUCAUGGUAGAUUUUGACAGUAUUAAUACAUACAGUUAGGCUUUAGUUUAUAGCACUAGUAAUAUACUUGUUAGGUACAAAUGAUAUCCCUUUUCCAUCACAUUGAUGACUGAAAGUUAUUCUACUGACACCUGGUAGCCAGUGCUUAUUUAGUUUCACCAUUCUAAAUAUAUUAAAAUAUUUCAGUACCAUUUUAUCUGACAUAUUCUUACAUAACAUAUUCAUAACAUCCUACAUAAACAUAGUAUGUUCAUGAACAUUCAUAAAGCAUACAUGCUUUACAUGAUAUUAAUAUUGAAAACUAUGUCAUUUAACUGAGAAAUAUUUUUCCACUUUUUAUUUUAUUUUGAAAAACUAUAUGAUUUCCAGUGAGACUCUGACCUGGUUUUACCCCUUUGAACACAGUACUUUGACAGUUGAAACUUCUUUUUAAUUAUUUUUUUUCUUAACCUUUUGUAUUUUGUACUUUAUGUUUUCUUUACAAUGUUAUUGUACCAGGAGAUUAAUCCAGUUUAUACAUUGUUAAGGAAAACAGUAUUUACUGUGGGGCAUUAAAUUCUAGCACUGUCAUCACAAUGAUAAUUUAGAGGUUUUUUUUAUUUUUAGUCAUUAUCUUCCUUACUUAUGGUAUUGGAGAUGUUACAAAUAUAAUCGUGCAUUAGUUGUCCUCUUUGAUUGACACACAUUGAGGUUAAAUGUUAUACACACUGUUAUCCCAAGGACCAAUCAAUUAUGUUACUGUAGCAUGGCAUGUGCUACCCCGGGCUCAAGGAGGACGCUGGAGGCAGGGUUCAGUGCUGCAGCAGCCAUAUUUAUUAACACAAAAUAAACAAACUCCAAACAACCCAAAUAAUCAAAGCUCUGCUGGCCACUUUUCAGUGGCUUCCACUAGCUAG